GGUUGCGAUCAUACCAGCACUAAUGCACCGGAUCCCAUCAGAACUCCGCAGUUAAGCGUGCUUGGGCGAGAGUAGUACUAGGAUGGGUGACCCCUGGAAGUCCUCGUGUUGCAACCCC
rnacentral:rRNA from 1 species